AGAGACCUGAGGUUUGCGGCGCUGGUCCCGGCCGGGUUGCUGCGUCGGGGCUGGAGGUGAGGCGAAAGAAGGACAACCUCUGAUGGGAGUGGACCGGAGUCCGCUAAAGCGAAACAUUCCAGGGUUCGUUGCGGGGAAAUACAGUCUGGUUUUGCCCCCCGUAUGAAUUGAGGGAAGCCAAGGUUAGGAAUUUGUAACAUGUCAUCUUUCAAGGAAGCAUCUAACCAAGAUUAAGUCAAAGGCAUCUACCAGGUCCUGAAUUCUCUCCCAGAUGCACACCUUUUAAGGUCAAGGAUGCAUUCCAGGAAAGUUCCAUAAAAAUAUACCAUCAGCUCCAACCCGAUAUUUGACCUAGCCAUGGAAAACCUCAUUGGCUCCUCACUAGAUCAGACCAUAAAAAUGAUUCAGGAAUGAAAAUCUAAGAUAAAUUCCCACCACUUCAAGAUGUUCUUAUACAAGUCAACAGUCUAGCAGAUCAGCUAGUCUCUUUCAUCAUCAAGCAGACAUACUCAAGAAAGAGGAAUAGUGAAGUGAAAUAUACAGAAGCAUGUUCAAGUUCAUCUGU
ensembl:lncRNA